rnacentral:lncRNA from 1 species
ACCGAGCAAGAGAAUGUCAACGGUGGACAAGAGCGACUCAAUGACACCAAUCUUUGUUGAGACCUUUGAGCCUCCGACAAUGGCAGCAAAAGGCUUCUUGGGGUUUGCCACAGCUCCGACAAGGUAAUCAAGCUCCUUCUGCAUGAGGAAACCAGCGACAGAAGGCUUCAAGUAUUUUGCAACUCCCUCGGUAGAAGCAUGAGCUCUGUGAGCAGUUCCGAAAGCAUCGUUGACGUAGACAUCAGCAGGGGCAGCAAGCUUCUUUGCGAAUUCAGGGUCGUUCUUCUCUUCUUCCUUGUAGAACCUCACGUUCUCCAAGAGAAGAACUCCACCUUCAGGUAGUCCUGCAACCAGUUUCUGGACUUCCUCACCAAUAGAGUCAUUUGCCAUCACAACCUCAACACCAAGAAGCUCAGACAAUCUCGGCACAAGAGGUUUCAAGCUGAAUUUAGGGGUAACACCUUUUGGGCGGCCCUGAAACAUAUAAUUGAUAUCAGAAACAUCCAAUAGUUACUACAAAAAUUGAAAUCAAAAUGUUCAAUAAUUUAAUUUUAAUGAACUUAAUGAAGGUAACAAGCCACUACUAAGACAUAACUGAUUAUCAAUGUUCCAUGAGCAACCAAACUAAUACAAAUGGUUCACAAAAGGCAUAAACUAUCAUGUAAGAAAGUGAAGUCAUCUGCAUAUGUAGCCGUCUAGCCGACCAAAUAACGAACUCACUGAGGACUCCUGGAAGUGGCUUUCCCUCUAGAAGCUCCAAACUUGCACCUCCUCCGGUAGAGAUGUGACUCAUCUUGUCAGCCAAACCAACCUUCUCCACGGCAGCCACAGAGUCACCUCCUCCUAUGAUUGUGGUCACUCCCUUUCCGCUCAGCUCCGCUAGCUGCUUUGCUACGGCCUGGUGGUUGUGGAACAUAACAAGGUAUCAAGUUAGUUAAGCAUAUUGACAUACUAUGAGUAAACGAUGGAUGUAUUAGCUGGGCUUACCUCAGUUCCAGCUGCAAACUUUUCGAAUUCAAAAACACCCAUGGGACCAUUCCAGAUGAUGGUCUGGGUCGUGUCCAGAGCCUCGCUGAAUGUCUUGAUGGAGUCUGGCCCAACAUCGAGUCCCAUCCAGCCAUCUGGGAUUGCCGUGGCUGGCACUAUCUGCAAAGAGUUCACAGGUGUGUCAGCUCUAAACAGAACAGAACAGACGCUGAAACGUUUUUAUGUCCGUUACCUUGCUGUUAGCAUCGGGAGCGAACUUAUCAGCAAUAACCACAUCGGUUGGGAGCAACAGAGAGACACCUUUGGCUUUCGCCUUCUCCAUGAGUGACUUGGCCAAGUCAAGCUUGUCCUCUUCCACAAGGGAAGAUCCAACCGAAUGUCCUUGCGCCUUGUAGAAAGUGAAAAUCAUACCUCCACCGAGCAAGAGAAUGUCAACGGUGGACAAGAGCGACUCAAUGACACCAAUCUUUGUUGAGACCUUUGAGCCUCCGACAAUGGCAGCAAAAGGCUUCUUGGGGUUUGCCACAGCUCCGACAAGGUAAUCAAGCUCCUUCUGCAUGAGGAAACCAGCGACAGAAGGCUUCAAGUAUUUUGCAACUCCCUCGGUAGAAGCAUGAGCUCUGUGAGCAGUUCCGAAAGCAUCGUUGACGUAGACAUCAGCAGGGGCAGCAAGCUUCUUUGCGAAUUCAGGGUCGUUCUUCUCUUCUUCCUUGUAGAACCUCACGUUCUCCAAGAGAAGAACUCCACCUUCAGGUAGUCCUGCAACCAGUUUCUGGACUUCCUCACCAAUAGAGUCAUUUGCCAUCACAACCUCAACACCAAGAAGCUCAGACAAUCUCGGCACAAGAGGUUUCAAGCUGAAUUUAGGGGUAACACCUUUUGGGCGGCCCUGAAACAUAUAAUUGAUAUCAGAAACAUCCAAUAGUUACUACAAAAAUUGAAAUCAAAAUGUUCAAUAAUUUAAUUUUAAUGAACUUAAUGAAGGUAACAAGCCACUACUAA